rnacentral:rRNA from 1 species
GACGAACCGUGCGACCGUUGUUCGGAAUCACUGGGCUUAAAGGGCGCGUAGGCGGCUUGCCAAGUCCGGGGUGAAAUCCUCCAGCUUAACUGGAGAAGUGCCCUGGAUACUGGCGAGCUCGAGCGAGGCAGGGGUUGUGGGAACUUCCGGUGGAGCGGUGAAAUGCGUUGAUAUCGGAAGGAACGCCGGUGGCGAAAGCGCACAACUGGUCCUCUUCUGACGCUGAGGCGCGAAAGCCAGGGGAGCAAACGGG